AGUGUCAGCAGCCGCGGUAAUACGUAGGGUGCAAACAUUAUCCGGAUUUAUUGGGCGUAAAGAGCUCGUAGGUGGUUUGAAAAGUCGAGUAUGAAAGACCCGGGCCCAACUCGGGGAACGUAUUCGAAACUUUCUGACUAGAGGUGUGCAGGGGAAGAUGGAACACAUAGUGUAGCAGUGAAAUGCGUAGAUAUUAUGUGGAACGCCGAUGGUGAAGACAGUCUUCUGGGCACAUCCUGACACUGAGGAGCGAAAGCGUGGGGAGCGAACGGGAUUAGAUACCCCGGUAGUCCACGCCGUAAACGAUGCAUACUAGGAAUUCGGAGAAUCGACCCUCUGUGUUUCGAAGCUAACGCGUUAAGUAUGCCGCCUGGGUAGUACGGCCGCAAGGCUAAAACUCAAAGGAAUUGACGGGGGCCCGCACAAGC
rnacentral:rRNA from 1 species